AACGAACGCUGGCGGCAUGCCUAACACAUGCAAGUCGAACGAGAUCUUCGGGUCUAGUGGCGCACGGGUGCGUAACGCGUGGGAAUCUGCCCUUUGGUUCGGAAUAACAGUUGGAAACGACUGCUAAUACCGGAUGAUGACGAAAGUCCAAAGAUUUAUCGCCAGAGGAUGAGCCCGCGUAGGAUUAGCUAGUUGGUGUGGUAAAGGCGCACCAAGGCGACGAUCCUUAGCUGGUCUGAGAGGAUGAUCAGCCACACUGGGACUGAGACACGGCCCAGACUCCUACGGGAGGCAGCAGUGGGGAAUGUUGGACAAUGGGCGAAAGCCUGAUCAGCAAUGCCGCGUGAGUGAUGAAGGCCUUAGGGUUGUAAAGCUCUUUUACCCGGGAUGAUAAUGACAGUACCGGGAGAAUAAGCUCCGGCUAACUCCGUGCCAGCAGCCGCCGUAA
rnacentral:rRNA from 1 species